AACGAACGCUGGCGGCAGGCCUAACACAUGCAAGUCGAGCGAACCCUUCGGGGUUAGCGGCGGACGGGUUAGUAACGCGUGGGAAUAUACCCUUUGGUACGGAAUAGCCUCGGGAAACUGAGAGUAAUACCGUAUGUGCCCUUCGGGGAAAGAUUUAUCGCCAAAGGAUUAGCCCGCGUUGGAUUAGAUAGUUGGUGGGGUAAUGGCCUACCAAGUCUACGAUCCAUAGCUGGUUUGAGAGGAUGAUCAGCAACACUGGGACUGAGACACGGCCCAGACUCCUACGGGAGGCAGCAGUGGGGGAAUCUUAGACAAUGGGCGCAAGCCUGAUCUAGCCAUGCCGCGUGGGACGAUGAAAGGCCUUAGGGUUGUAAAAGUCCCUUUUCGCUGGGGAAGAUAAUGACUGUACCCAGUAAAGAAGCCCCGGCUAACUCCGUGCCAGCAGCCGCGGUAAUGUGUGACUG
rnacentral:rRNA from 1 species